ensembl:lncRNA
AAAUGACAAUCACAAUACAAAAACCUAACAACCACCACCACCUCCUCCUAGAGCUACUCAGGCUACAGCACCAAUGGCAUCACUUGCAUCACUACCAGUUCAAACACAACAUCCAUCUCCAGUUCCACAAGGUAUAGCAACAACAGUACCAGAUCCAGAGUCAGGAGCAACAGUAUAGAAAGAGAACAAACCACCAGAACCAGCCACAAGUGCUACAGCACCAGAACACGCUACAGCUCUACAAACCAAAUCCCAAACAGCAGCAGACUCAGCCUCACAGACCACAACAGCAGAGCCAGCGUCACAGACCACAGCUCCAAAUGCUACAACCACACAAGCCUCAGCUCCACAGAUUACAGCCCAGCAACCUACAACACAAACCAUAGAAGCAACAGUUCCACUUGUGACACCAGCCCCAGCAACAGCCUCACAAGCUAGCCAGCAUCACCACCUCAAAGAUACACUGAACCUGUUGCAGAGAAAUAUAUAAUGGAUGCCUGGGCUGGAAAGAGUCCUCAUGUUCUAUUCUCAAAAAUUGGUGCUUACAAAUUAUUCUACUGGGAUAUCCAACAAAUUGGUCCGAACAUGGAGUUGGAAAGUGAGUCUAUUAAUGCAUAUCUUGCGAUCAUGGUGAGACAAUGCAAUCGCCAUAAUUCAGCAAAAGCAGCAUUCAUUGAUUCAUUUUCAAUGACUGCCAUUUGGAAGAGAAAAGCUCCAAGAGUCAAGAUCAAACCCAUGGAGCAUGAAGUCAUUCUGGGAAUUGUAAAUGAACAUCAUCACUGGACAUUAGUGGUCAUUUACCCUCAAGAAAAGAAGUCGCUGUAUCUUGAUCCACUCAACAAUCAACAAGGGCAUUCAUGCGAAAAAAAGGAUGCAACGUCUCAAGGUGGACUUGUGACACAGUCAAACACCCAAAACAAGUGGACGCUACCUUAUGUGGAGUCUUUGCAUUGAAAUUUGCUGAAAAGAUCUUGCAAAAAGAGUCAAUAGACUUUCCAUCUACAAAAAAGGCCGUGAAUACACACAGGCUACAAAUUGCCACCACUCUCCUCCUAGAGACAGAUGACCUGACAAACAUCUGUCAUUUCUGUGGGGAAGAAGAGCAUGAAACUGACAAUAAAUGGAUUCAGUGGGAGAUGUGUUUGCGGUGGUUCCACCAGCUCUGCUUGAAAAGCCCACCACCAGAAGACGUGUUUAUUUGUUUCGCUUGUACAUAGUUGACACUAAAGUUGCACAGCUAGUGUUCUUAUGGCACACAUUGUUGAGAACACACAUAUCUACAUGUAGAGAUGUAGAUGUUAAAUUAAGAAGUCUAAAAAAAGAAAAUGGUCUCCAAAGUUUCUGUAGUUAUUAGUUAUACUGUGACUUAUUUUGGAAAUAAACUCUGUCAUGAUAGCAACGCCAAUGUGCAUUAUUGAUGGGGGGGGGGGACACAUUUUGGCAGACACAGCCUGAUAUAAUCUGUACCCCUCCAUAACUUUUGCUGUGAAGAACAAAUCAUCUUCAAAGUUACUGUACUUAUUGGUUAUACUGUGACUUAUUUAGCAAAUAAACUAUUUCGUGAUAGCAACGCCAAUGUGCAUUAUUGAUGGCGGGGCACACAUUAGGGCAGCCGAUGUCACACAGCCUGAUAAAAUCUGUAUCCCUCCAUAACUUUUGCUGUGAAGAAGAAAUCAUCUUCAAAGUUACUGUACUUAUUGGUUAUACUGUGAUUGAUUUUGCAAAUAAACUCCUUCGUGAUAGCUUCGCUACAAAGUGUAAACCGAGUGUAAAUUCACCGGAGAGCG